rnacentral:rRNA from 1 species
GACGAACGCUGGCGGCGUGCCUAAUACAUGCAAGUUGAGCGCUGAAGGUUGGUACUUGUACCAACUGGAUGAGCAGCGAACGGGUGAGUAACGCGUGGGGAAUCUGCCUUUGAGCGGGGGACAACAUUUGGAAACGAAUGCUAAUACCGCAUAAAAACUUUAAACACAAGUUUUAAGUUUGAAAGAUGCAAUUGCAUCACUCAAAGAUGAUCCCGCGUUGUAUUAGCUAGUUGGUGAGGUAAAGGCUCACCAAGGCGAUGAUACAUAGCCGACCUGAGAGGGUGAUCGGCCACAUUGGGACUGAGACACGGCCCAAACUACUACGGGAGGCAGCAGUAGGGAAUCUUCGGCAAUGGACGAAAGUCUGACCGAGCAACGCCGCGGGAGUGAAGAAGGGUUUCGGAUCGUAAAAAUCUGUUGGUAGAGAAGAACGUUGGUGAGAGUGGAAAGCUCAUCAAGUGACGGUAACUACCCAGAAAGGGACGGCUAACUACGUG